AUAGUGUGUUCUAAUUUGUAAUAUAUUUAAUAAUAAUAUAAUAAACUAUAAAGAAUGAUUUAUAAGUGUAUACAAAUGUAAGCGUAUUGCACACAUAUUCUAGGUACAAGUUACUUAACAACAAAAAGAGAGGAGUUGGAAAAGAGUAAUGCACUUUUCAUAUCGUUUGUAUUCCCAUAUGGUCUGGCAAAAAAAAAAAAAAAGACUCGUGCAGUCUCACCAUUACCUAAUUAUUUCAGCAGCGAAGAAAGAAUUACUUAUUGACUUUUAUUUUGACAACAGUAAUAAGCUGGUAACGAUUGAAAAUUGAUGAUUUAAAACAAAUUUCACAACCAUCAAAAAUCGUGAAAAAGUUUUAUAUAAAAUCAUGCAUGAACAGACGAAAAGUUUAAUUGACAAAAUUGUAAUUUUAAUUAAUGUUUCUUCAUCUUUCACGGAUAUCUGUGUAUGUGCAUGCGUGGUGUAUGUAUAUGCAUGGCGUGAUUACAACAAAUGAAAAUUACCUUGGAAAAUAGGUAAACAAUAAAUACAUUUUGACUUAGUGAAUUAAAUGUUUAUUGAUAAGUGUAAAAGGUCUAUGCAAAUUGAGCAAAAAUAGGAAUAGUAAAUUUUUUUUCUUAAUUUACCGAAAGUAAAAAAAAAACAAAUAUAAAAUAAAUCAAUUCUGAAAAUAAAAAGACAACAGCUUUCAAUGAACUGAUAGCAUUUACAAUCCUAGAAAUCGGGUUUUCAAUGAGAUAAACAUCAUUAGUGAACAAACACACCGUCAGUUUCUAUUGGCAAAUAUUUAAUAGGUUAUAGGUAAAAAUCAUCGAUAUAAAGAUAGACUUCUAAUAUACUGAUUAACAAACAAUCACGAAUACCAGAAUUCAUAAAUAUAAUAAUAGCGUAAACGGAUGUUUCUUAAACUAUUUUGCACAAAAAAUACUUGAAAAAUAAUUUAAUGAACCAAUUUGCUUGAUAUAGUCGACUGAAACAUCUUAAUAGAACAGGAAUAACACGAAUUAUGAACCACCCAGUAAACAAAUGUCAUCUGUUUUAGUGUGCAGGAAUUAUUCAUCUUAACAAAAUACUAAAAAUGAAUAUAUAUAAAUACGUUAUCGAUAUAAAUAUAGACGAGAAA